rnacentral:rRNA from 1 species
UGGAAUGUGCGUGGUUUGAACAAUGGCGCUAAGCGCAUUGCUGUCAGUAGCAUGGUCACCGCUACUUUGCCCUCUACCGUGUGCCUGCAAGAAACCAAGCUUGCGGCCGUCACCGAUUCUCUUGUUCUAGACACUCUCGGCCCUCUCUAUGAGGGAUUCUACUCCCUACCUGCAGAUGGCACUCGCGGUGGCAUCAUCCUCGCCUGGCGUAGCCCCAACGUUUCUAUCUCGAACCCCCAUAUUGGAGAUCACCACAUCACGGCU